rnacentral:rRNA from 1 species
GACGAACGCUGGCGGCGUGCUUAACACAUGCAAGUCGAGCGGUAAGGCCCUUCGGGGUACACGAGCGGCGAACGGGUGAGUAACACGUGGGUGACCUGCCUCUAGCUCUGGGAUAAGCCUGGGAAACUGGGUCUAAUACCGGAUAUGACUCCACGGCGCAUGUUGUGGGGUGGAAAGCCUUGUGCGGCUAGAGAUGGGCCCGCGGCCUAUCAGCUUGUUGGUGGGGUGANGGCCUACCAAGGCGACGACGGGUAGCCGGCCUGAGAGGGCGACCGGCCACACUGGGACUGAGACACGGCCCAGACUCCUACGGGAGGCAGCAGUGGGGAAUCUUGCGCAAUGGGCGAAAGCCUGACGCAGCGACGCCGCGUGAGGGAUGGA